rnacentral:pre_miRNA from 1 species
AAAAAGACAAACCCUGGGUUUCCGUGUCCAACUUUGACUGUCCGUCUUAUAUGAAAUUUUUUUAUAAUUUGUAUUUUCAUUGUUGUUAGAUGAUAAAACAUGAUUAAUAUUUUAUGCGUGACUUGUCUUUUUAAUUUUUUUCAUAAUUUUUUCAAAUAAGACGGACAGUCAAAUGUUAGACACGGAAAUCAGGGUUUGUCUUUUU